UACGGAGGGUGCAAGCGUUGUCCGGAUUUAUUGGGUUUAAAGGGUGCGUAGGCGGCUAAUUAAGUCAGCGGUGAAAUUCCACAGCUUAACUGUGAGAACUGCCAUUGAUACUGGUUGGCUUGAGUACAGAUGAGGUAGGCGGAAUUGACAGUGUAGCGGUGAAAUGCGCAGAUAUCGGGAAGAACACCCGUGGCGAAGGCGGCACUCUGGGACGGUACUGACGCUGAGACGCGAAAGCGUGGGGAGCGAACAGG
rnacentral:rRNA from 1 species